CUCCCUGUGGCUCAGUUGGUAGAGCAUGGUGCUUGCAACGCCAGCAUGGUGUGUGCAAUGCCAGGGUUGUGGGAUCGAUUCCCACGGGGGGGC
rfam:Salmo salar isolate Sally breed double haploid chromosome ssa26, whole genome shotgun sequence.